GUAAAAGACUAAUGGUGUGAUGGAACUGCCGCCCUUGAGUCACACGUGGUGUAGUCGGUAACUCCACCAAAUCACAAUGGAUUGGUUUUAAAGACAUCGACUGGGACACAUGGCUUGAAAGGAAAUAACACACACUACUGUCUGGGCUCGUUCCUGAAGGAAGUGGUGGUGGGGGACAUCGGUGGCUAUGUUGACAGCUCCAGCACUUUGUGUAUGCCUGCAGGAAACAGUAAGGCACGCUCUCUCCAUAUCUUCAAGGGAAUUGAGGAAUUGUGUACGUACUGUAAGAGACAACUGGAACUUGGAGAAAAAAUUGACAGAUGUCCGUUGUUUGGAAUCUUCUGUUUGUUUUUCUGUUUGGCUCGAUGACCAAAAGCCUAUGUGCUGCCAUCAGUUGUAGUCAACUAUUUGUAGUGAAUU